UUCACGAUUUUGAUCUCUGAAAGACUGUGUGUAGAGGGCAGGUUUUUGUGCUUAAGUUGUGAUGAAAUAUCAACCGAUGAAACCGCUUGCUUGCCUAAGAAGCAAUCGGAAGGCUGGAGAGCAGUGUUGCAAGUGAGAGCAAGGAGAGGAAUGGGAGGCAGCUCUCUCAGAUAUGAUUGUUCCAGACUGGAUCUUAACUUCCUUCCAAAGCCCAUAAGCUAAAGGCAUUGUCCUGCUAGGUGGUGGUAGAACCUUUAGGAGGUGGGGCUUAGUGGGCGGAAGUUAUAUCACUGGGGAGGGUGUGCCCUUGAAGGGGAUAUUAGGACUCAGACAGGAGUUUCCCUCAUCUCCUACCCUCUCUUAGCUGACCUGAGGUGAGCAGCUCUUCUCCAGCACACAUUUCCUGCAUAUGUACUUAUUGCUUCACCACAAGGCCGAAAACAGUGGAGCCAUCCAACAUUGGACUGAAACUCUCCAAAACUGAGGAAGGAUGGUGAGGCAAACAUAAAGCUCAGAGCUGACAUCACGAAUCACAAUCAUGAGGAGAAGAGAGCCAAGGCACAACCCUACUCCAUUCCUCUGGGGACUUACCUUGGAACACUGGGUGGAGCCCUCGUGGGCCUGGAUGGAACUUGAGGAGGGGCUCCGAAUGAGUCGCUGCUGUUAGGAAAAGGAGGUAAGGGACCUGGACGGAAGGGGACUGGGGGAGCUCCGGAGUGGGGGCCUGGAGAGGGAAUGGCAGGAGCUGGUCCCCGGCCAGAUGUGGGCCUCGUGAGGGAUACACUUAGAGUCGGCUUCCUUUGGGUUGUGGGGCUUGGAGGAGGUGACCUGAGGAAAAA